GAUGAACGCUGGCGGCGUGCCUAAUACAUGCAAGUAGAACGCUGAAGGAGGAGCUUGCUCUUCUGGAUGAGUUGCGAACGGGUGAGUAACGCGUAGGUAACCUGCCUGGUAGCGGGGGAUAACUAUUGGAAACGAUAGCUAAUACCGCAUGACAACAGUUAUUGCAUGAUAACUGUUUAAAAGGGGCAACUGCUCCACUACCAGAUGGACCUGCGUUGUAUUAGCUAGUUGGUGAGGUAACGGCUCACCAAGGCGACGAUACAUAGCCGACCUGAGAGGGUGAUAGGCCACACUGGGACUGAGACACGGCCCAGACUCCUACGGGAGGCAGCAGUAGGGAAUCUUCGGCAAUGGACGGAAGUCUGACCGAGCAACGCCGCGUGAGUGAAGAAGGUUUUCGGAUCGUAAAGCUCUGUUGUAAGAGAAGAACGAGUGUGAGAGUGGAAAGUUCACAAUGUGACGGUAUCUUACCAGAAAGGGACGGCUAACUACGUG
rnacentral:rRNA from 1 species